GAAUAAUUGCAGGCUGCAUUUCCUUGGCAUGUUUCGGAGAGAUGGGUGAGAAUUUUGAAAGUGAAGCCUUCUAUUUGAACUUUGUGAGCAAAGAUAUAUCAUGAUCACUUCCUUUUCAAGACUGUGGAAUAUGUCAUGACAGAGAAACCCAAAGGGAGCCUUGAAUGCACCUACCCAUUGGGCACAGCAAGAAAGACUAUCAUCAUGGGAUGAAGGCCUCAACACCUCCCACAAAGUAUGAAUGUUAAACUCAUCUUGAAGAAAUCAAUACACAAUAGUGUUAAAUAUGAACAAGUCGUGAAGUGUAGGGUCGAGACGAUGGAGGAUCAGAAACCACAAACUUGGCUGAGAAAAUGGAGCUGGGGAAAGUUCUCAGGCAAAUUAUCUAAGGAAGAAUCGAUCACCGUUCCUGUUUGCCUGACUAGUAUAACGUCAACUCUCAAGGCAUGUCAGAUCAAGAGGGAGAACCAUAGUAGAACGAAGAAAGAGGAUCCGUGUGCUUGCGCUGAGAGCCAUGUGGAACCGAUUCCUGGAAAUCAAGCACUGGUGUGGUUCAGCAACCCUGCUCCUGGCUCAUUUUCCUGCAUGGGUCGAGGUCAUUGA
rnacentral:lncRNA from 1 species